GAUGAAGAACGCAGCGAAAUGCGAUAAGUAGCGUGAAUUGCAGAAUUCAGUGAAUCAUCGAAUCUUUGAACGCACAUUGCGCCCCUUGGUAUUCCAUGGGGCAUGCCUGUUCGAGCGUCAUUUGUACCUUCAAGCUUUGCUUGGUGUUGGGUGUUUGUCUCGCCUUUGCGUGUAGACUCGCCUUAAAAUAAUUGGCAGCCGGCGUAUUGAUUUCGGAGCGCAGUACAUCUCGCGCUUUGCACUCAUAACGACAGCGUCCAAAAGUACAUUUUACACUCUUGACCUCGGAUCAGGUAGGGAUACCCGCUGAACUUAAGCAUAUCAAUAAGCGGAGGA
rnacentral:misc_RNA from 1 species